UACGUAGGGUGCAAGCGUUAAUCGGAAUUACUGGGCGUAAAGCGUGCGCAGGCGGUUAUGUAAGACAGGUGUGAAAUCCCAGGGCUUAACCUUGGAACUGCAUUUGUGACUGCAUAGCUAGAGUACGGUAGAGGGGGAUGGAAUUCCGCGUGUAGCAGUGAAAUGCGUAGAUAUGCGGAGGAACACCGAUGGCGAAGGCAAUCCCCUGGACCUGUACUGACGCUCAUGCACGAAAGCGUGGGGAGCAGACAGG
rnacentral:rRNA from 1 species